GUUUGAUUUAGGAUUCUUUUAUCUUAUCAUUUGCAAUGGUGAAAAUGUCACACUGGAUAUGUGCAUCUGAUAAUGUACAUGUAAAACAUGUCAUGGAAAUAAGUUAACAAGAAAGACGUCUCAAACAGCUUUUUAUUACAUUUUUUCAAUAACAGUACAUUUUAGUACAGUAUCUAUCUUGCAUCCAGCUCGCUGUGGAACACCAACAUAAUGAAAUAAAAUACAAAAGGUGAAAAGGGUACAAGGGUGCUGAGCUCUACCUUAUCAAUGGAAAGCGAAAAGGGAAUCCAUCUCAAUUGAAUUGCAAUUCAUUUUACUUGUGGCCACACACAAAUACAUCACAUUAAUUGUACAUUAGAGAAAACAAAAAGUGAAAAAUGUCAACUAUUAAAGAAAGUGCUUCUGUAUACAGUGAAAAAUGGUCUGCCAUUAAGAUGCUAUUUGAGUUAAGACCAAAAAAAAAAUUACAUUACAUUUAUUAUGGACAGAAAUCUGAGAACAUGUUUUUGUUAAACUGGGUGUAAAAAUUUAAGUGAGAUUGUGAGGUCUGUUCAAAAACAAGAUGGGGUUUUCGCAAUCAUUCCGUUAUGAAUUAUAAAAGUUGGCAUUAGAACUGGUAAGCAUGUUUCACAUGGAGCCUGCAGUCAAUAGGAAAUUCAUUCUUCACUUUCACUUACUCUGGUGCAUAGCUUUGCCAGUAUAAGUACAUAUUGUAUGCAGAUUGUAGCCCAAAAUAACUUGAAAAAAGAUAAAAUCGAAGUUAACAGGUUAUUAUCCUUAUGAAACAGACAGAUGCCUUACAUCUGUGCACCUUGGAAAGCAAUUCUACAGCAUGCACACCUAAAUUAAUCCAUGGCAGACAAAAAAAAAAAAAAUAUCAGAUCAUUAUUUUCAGACAUUGAUUUGUACAUUUCAUUCACAGAAUAGCAACUGCAGUUCCAAGCACAGGAAAGGUGUGAGCUGUCACCGAGAAUAAGUGUACACCUAAAAAAUCCAAUCCAUUUAACCAAAUCCUGACUUGCCACAAAUCACAGAACCCACCCUAAAUCCCUAGUCCCCACCCAGAUAAGAAAAGAGUUAAGGGGUUAACUGAAAUGACCUUACUCAUAACUCCUUUUGUAUUGGAAUGAGCAUUCAUCACAAUUUAUAGCAUGUGGUCGGUUAGUUAACACAGUAUUAGUUGAGAAGCAAAAUUUCUUUUUGUGCAAAAAAAAAAAAAAAAAAAAAAAAAAAAGCUGUGAUGAAACAAAAACAGCUAGUAUAUAAAUACAUCAUUGAAAUUUUCUGAAAGCUGCUCAUGUAAUCUGGUCUAGCUUUUGCUUUCAUGCUUUCUGCUUGUUUUAUUUUGUCUAAUCUUUCUUACAUGAUUAAAUUGGAUUAAAAUGACAAGCUUUAAUUUUAAACAUAUCUAAAACCACUGAGAAAACAUGACAUGAACAAAAGCCAUUGAAUAAAACUAACAAACCAUCAGAGAAUAAUUCUUCAACAACCAAAAAAAAAAGUUAAAUAAUUUGUACAAUUAUGCUCCAACAUUUGCUUUCAAGACACAUACAUUUGCAGGGGAUGAUAGUGUUGUUUUCUCAUUUCAAGGUAACAUAAAAAUGGUCCAAGAAGAAUGCACAAGUUUUUUGAUUUGAUACCAC
ensembl:lncRNA